rnacentral:rRNA from 1 species
UACGUAGGGGGCAAGCGUUGUCCGGAUUUAUUGGGCGUAAAGAGCGUGUAGGCGGCCAGACAGGUCCGUUGUGAAAACUCGAGGCUCAACCUCGAGAUGUCGAUGGAAACCGUCUGGCUAGAGUCCGGAAGAGGAGUGUGGAAUUCCUGGUGUAGCGGUGAAAUGCGCAGAUAUCAGGAAGGACCCCUGUGGCGAAGGCAGCACUCUGGGACGGUACUGACGCUGAGACGCGAAAGCGUGGGGAGCGAACAGG